ACACGCUGAAAGGAGGUGAUCCGAGAACAUGGUUUCUUUUCGGAUUCGUGAGGUGACUGCGGGCUAACGGCCUGCCGUCGCACUCUGUGCACCUCGGCAGUUCGUCUGCCGAAAACCACGCAGUCACCCGACCCGUGGGCCGCCGGUAGAUCCGGCCGGCUCCCGUCCGAACUCGAGCGGACGGGACCAGGCCCACGGGUCGUCUGCG
rnacentral:sRNA from 1 species